rnacentral:tRNA from 4 species
GGAAGGGUGCGAGAGUGGUUUAAUCGAACGGCUUGGAAAGCCGUGCUCGUUUUACGGGCUCGUGGGUUCAAAUCCCACCCCUUCCG